rnacentral:rRNA from 1 species
GAUGAACGCUGGCGGCGUGCCUAACACAUGCAAGUCGAACGGAUGGUCGUCGCAAGACGGUUGUCAGUGGCGCACGGGUGAGUAACACGUAGCUGACGUGCCCGCAAGCGCGGGAUAACGAGCGGAAACGUUCGCUAAGACCGCAUAAGCUCCCGGUGGUUAGAGGACGGGGAGAAAAGGCGCAAGCGGCUUGCGGAGCGGGCUGCGGACCAUCAUGUAGUUGGGGGGUAAAGGCCUACCAAGCCGACGACGGAUAGGGGGUC